GUGGGACCGAUCACGCGAAUUCGCAAGCGUUAGUCAUAACGGUUAGGCAGAAAAAAUUACGCUGAGCCGCAGCAGCAAAACGCCAACAGGCUGGCAAUAUCAUAACCAUAGCAGCGUAUGGGACAACAAAAAAUCUUACAGUUAUGUCGUAAUAACGAACAUGCAACGAGUGACAUCACUGUUGAGCAAAUGAGAGAGCGUACACGAUCGCGGAGUGCGCUGAAAUUCACCACACUUGAUAGCGCCACGACAAAUACUCGAAUCUCGUACGAGAAUAAGUAGACAAAUUAAUUAAUUUGUUAACAAAUAGCGAACAACAAAGCACAAUAACCACAGUCGCACUUACACUAGCUAAACAAUUAAUGACAAAAGUAUCGAGCAAUUAAAAAAUAGUUGCGCAUAUAAUAAAUACAUACUCGUAUGUAUGUAUGUAGAUGUGUAUAUAUGUAUUUACUUAUGCGUUUGUGUUCGCAUUAGAUUGUAUAAUUGUAAUGAGCGCCUUUUCUGAAGUAAACGCAGUCCGAUCGCUUGAACGCGUCACGAUUUAUAACGUCGAUUUUUUAUCAUCGCCUCUUGCUUGCUUGUAUUCUUAUUUAUUUAUUAUUAAUUAUUUUUGUUUUAAUUUUUUCAUAUUUAUUCUUUGUGUGUAUUUCUUCACUUUUGUUUUGACUACAUAAAUCAGUGGCGGAUGACAUCAGCAGCGGUGACCGCGCACGUUUGGGUUGCCAGCUUGCCAGCUAGUUAUCGCUAAAGAGGCUCUCCACGCAAAUCGGAACGCUAAUAAUUAUAAUAACUAUUCAAUUGACAAGUCUUUGAUGCUUAGCUUACAUAUAUACAUAUAUACAUACAUAUACAUAUGUAUAUAUAUUAAUUUGUAUAAAAUAUUUACGGAGAAUUUGCACAAUAAAAUUUUUGAUUUGAUGUGAAAUUGCUUGAAUAAAGGAUGACUUAAUAGUCGAAUAGACUUUUAAAAACGAAA